CUAAAAAGUUUGCCGGCCUACCAUCACCAGCCUUCUACGACCCCUCCACCCCAAACCAUUUGUCACAUCAAGUAUCAGCGACAGAAAAAUACCCCCCCGCGCAACAGCCAAUAGUACCAUAUGGGAACACUGAAAGAAAACUACCACUAUUAAAGCACAAAACAGCAGGGCCCACAACCCGUACCUUUUGCAUCAUGGUUUAACAAGCCCUGCCCAGGUAAAGCGCACUACAACCUGCCCACCCGAAUCCAGACGAUCUACCUCAGAGCAAUCUACAGGAUGAACCCCCCUCUGUGGCAAAAGAGCGGGAAGACUUUGAAGUAGCGGUGAAACGCCAAUCGAGCCUGGCGAUAGCUGGUUGCUCACUAAACGAAUCAAAGUUCGACUCUAGCCAAGCCCCACCGACCUUAUCCACCCCUGUCCAUUUUGCCUAGAAGUUAUACAACUAGGGGACAGCCUAGUUGUAACCGGAUACAGCCCAAAACUGGCGGACCAGAGAAGCCCCCCCCCCAUUCCCGUAGGCCUUCAAGCAGCCACCAAAUAARACCGCGUCAAAGCACCACAGCCCCAAAAAUCUCCACUACGACCACAAAUCCCCACACCAAACUGAGCCACCCUAGGUAAACCUAGGGGAGACCCUGUUAGAACGAGUAAUAAGAGCCACCUCUCUACCGCACACCCUUACGCCGGNACGGACUACCCCCCGGCAAUUACCAACCAAAAACCACGCCACUGUCACCCCGACACAGGAGUGCCUAAAAGACCGGCAAACCGUCCCAGAAGGAACUCAGCUAACAUGCCCCACCUGUUUACCAAAAACACCGCCUUUAGCCAAACAAGUAUUAAAGGUCCCGCCUGCCCAGUGAGCCCCCUUAAACGGCCGCGGUACUCUAACCGUGCAAAGGUAGCGUAAUCACUUGCCCCCUAAAUAGGGGCUAGUAUGAACGGCUAAAUGAGGGCCUAACUGUCUCCUGCGACAAGCCAAUGAAACUGCUCUCUCAGUACAAAAGCUGAGAUGACACCACAAGACGAGAAGACCCUGUGGAGCUUCUAAGCACCACACUAACCCAACAGCCCACCCAUAGUGCACACUUUAAGUUGGGGCGACUACGGAGAAAACCCUAACCUCCACGAAACAGGACUAACCUCCACCCAAGGCCAACAAGCCAAGGCUAUCAAUGACCCAUUGACCCAGCAACGCUGAACAACGGACCAAGUUACCCCAGGGAUAACAGCGCAAUCCUCCUCAAGAGUCCAUAUCGCCAGGAGGGUUUACGACCUCGAUGUUGGAUCAGGACCCCCAGGCGGUGCAGCCG
rnacentral:rRNA from 1 species